UCCAUGAGUCUGCUGGCCGCGAUGACCACUGGGCUCCAUGAGUCCGCUGGCCACGAUGGCCAUGAUGACAACUGGGCUCUGUGAGUCCGCUGGCCGUGAUGACCAAGUUUUGUCAUUUAGAGAUCUUUAACUUGCUGUGAUCAGGAUCUUCAAAAAUGUGAUCACAGUUCAAGGGUUGCAUUGCAGAAGAGACCCCAUCCGGAGGAAUUUGGUGAGGAUUAUAAUGGAGCUGGUCAUUUAUGGGAUGCACAGAUGCCAGCAGCCCUGAUAUCAUUAGCUUUGAAUGGGCAUUGAUUGUGGAGAUAACUCAAACAGGUGGUGCCUGGGUGUUGAUGGCUGUUGAGUAUCAGUGAGGAUCAUGGCUGACAGACGGUAUUUCCGUCAGUGCUACAGACACCCAGCGACCACGCUCCCAGCCAUCUGCGCUGGCAGGCCUUUCGCCUCUGGAGCGCUCGAGAGCCACUGAAUACUCACUCUUGGCUCGGGGAUCCUUAUUAUGAGGCUGUCAGACAAGCCAGGAAACUUUUCUCCUCUUAAAAAGUAUCUUGACGCUGGAGCUCAGGUAAAAAGCACAGACUGCAAGGAAAUGAAACAGCUGGAAGUCUCUGUUGCCCCGUGACUGACGUCUGGCUCCUGUGCCUGGGCAGAGAGAAGCAGAGACUGUCCUCCCUUGAUCCCCACUGCACAUUCUGCGUCACGAUUUUCUUUCCUUUUCUUUGCUAUCAUUUGCUGUUUUGGGCAGUGGAGGGGUGUUGGGCAGGGGGGUCUCCCCAAAAUAAAGGCAGUUUGCCAGGUAGCCCUGCACUACAGUGCCGGUGCCAGGCCUGUGCUGGGUGUGUACUGCAAGCUGCAGUUGGCCUGGCAGGAGGAUGUGACACACCACAGGCUAGCGUCCCACACACCUGGCACGCAGAAACAGACCUGAGGAAGCCAGGCCUCGUUGGCUUCCUGCAACCACAGUCACGCAGAUCAGCGAGGGAACAGGUUUGCUUUGCAACAGAUUAUUGUCUUCAAAAGCAUCCAUGUGUCCACUUAGAUCAAAAAAGAGGCAUAAGGCUUUGUGAUGUGCACAAAAGGUUUAAAUUUUUAAUUGAAAACCAUGCUUUGGAACCUCUUCAGUCCUUUGUGUCCCCACAAUUGUUCUCUUCUCAUUUAAGCUCUUUCAUUUUCGGUUAACUCUGCGGUUCAGUCCUGGGAUUCGAGAAUACUCCUAACAGAGAGGCAGUUCACCUCCAGCAGUGACUGCAGCAGGAGCGUGUUGCAGAAUCAUUUCUACCGAAGGUUCACAUCUUCUGGAUGACUAGUGGAAGACUAAUGCAUGUGUCUUUGAAGUUAUGGGACCAAAAACAGUAGAUUCAGUUCUGAGAUAUGGGGAACAGCUUAGUAUCUUAUUGUGGCCAAGAUUGCUAUUCCUGUUUGGGCUGUUUAAUUUUUGCCAACUAUUCCCUGUGAACCCCUUGGGGGCUGUCUGAAUUGACACAUUAGACAGGUCAGCUGUUGCCUUAAGUAAAGCGCUUGAGGAACAUGCACCCACAUUCGUGCCACUUGUGAGACUGCUUAGAUCAGCCUUCUUUCACAGCAUGUGCAGUGUACAACAUGCUUAGAAAAAAAGCCCAGUCUGCUACCUCUUCACACUGCUUGGGAGUCACGGGGGAGCUUGCCUGUUCCCACGACUUGGGACAGAAUGGUUCACUGUGGAUCACUGAUUAGUCACUAUGGAACAAAACAUUGUUUAAUAUUUUGAUAGAAAAGUGUGUGUGUGUGUAUAUAUACAUUUCUUUUUCAUUAUUUGUUUGAAUGAGGUCCUUAAGCGUGGAGAUCUACAGUAAGCCAGGACGAAUCAAAAUAAGACUACCGUACUUAAAAACAUCAGCUGCAUUAGCUUAUUUAUUUGCCUGAAAACGUCAGAUAAACGCUGCCUGGAACAUGAGCUCAGGAAGCCAUAGGAUAUCACCACUGUCUAAAGUGUGCCGAGAAGUCACUCUGAAGCCCUGCCUGGAGAAACGUAUCGUCCUCACAGAGAUACAGUGAAAAGAAGCCACAAAACACAGAAGCACAGCAAAUUUUCUAACCGCUUGUUCCAAUUUGGAGGUGGAGCCUAGCCGAGCAAACAACAGACACAAGGCAGGGUAUGCCCUGGACAUGACAGCAGGCCAUUGUAGGGCAGACACAGAAGCAAACACACACACUCACAGCAGGGCCAAUUCUCCCAGAAGCCAAGAGCCCCGAAAGGGAA